UACGUAGGGGGCAAGCGUUGUCCGGAAUUAUUGGGCGUAAAGAGCGCGUAGGCGGUCCGAUAAGUCGGCUGUGAAAGUCAUGGGCUCAACCCAUGAAAGCCGGCCGAUACUGUCGGACUAGAGUUCGGAAGAGGCAAGUGGAAUUCCCGGUGUAGCGGUGAAAUGCGCAGAUAUCGGGAGGAACACCAAUUGCGAAGGCAGCUUGCUGGGACGAUACUGACGCUGAUGCGCGAAAGCCAGGGGAGCGAACGGG
rnacentral:rRNA from 1 species